rnacentral:rRNA from 1 species
AUACAUGCAAGUCGAGCGAAUUGAUGGGAGCUUGCUCCCUGAUAUUAGCGGCGGACGGGUGAGUAACACGUGGGUAACCUGCCUGUAAGAUUGGGAUAACUCCGGGAAACCGGAGCUAAUACCGGAUAACAUGUUGAACCGCAUGGUUCAACAUUGAAAGAUGGCUUUUGCUAUCACUUACAGAUGGACCCGCGGCGCAUUAGCUAGUUGGUGAGGUAACGGCUCACCAAGGCAACGAUGCGUAGCCGACCUGAGAGGGUGAUCGGCCACACUGGGACUGAGACACGGCCCAGACUCCUACGGGAGGCAGCAGUAGGGAAUCUUCCGCAAUGGACGAAAGUCUGACGGAGCAACGCCGCGUGAACGAUGAAGGCCUUCGGGUCGUAAAGUUCUGUUGUUAGGGAAGAACAAGUACCAGAGUAACUGCUGGUACCUUGACGGUACCUAACCAGAAAGCCACGGCUAACUACGUGCCAGCAGCCGCGGUAAUACGUAUGUGGCAAGCGUUGUCCGGAAUUAUUGGGGCGUAAAGCGCGCGCAGGUGGUUUCUUAAGUCUGAUGUGAAAGCCCACGGCUCAACCCGUGCACGGUCAGUUGAAAACUGGGGGAACUUGAGUGCAGAAAAGGAAAGU